rnacentral:lncRNA from 1 species
CCAGCCCACCAGCUGGCCACUAAAAGCUCCCGGUUGCCAAGAAGUAUGAGCGCGUAAUUGUGCUGGAUUUCCACGUAUGUCAGUUGAGCCAUUUGAAGACAUUAGGAGUGGGGGUUAUUGAACCCUCCCUUGCUCUAGGACAAUGCAAGCCUGCCUCUGUGUUCACCACAGGUGCCUUUACAUACUAAACAAGGAGAGUCCAGGCCCACGCGCUGUGCUCUGACUAACAUGGCUGACUUCUUGUUCCAAAGAAGAAUGGAGCUGGACCCCCCCCCCCAAACACCCUGGACCCCAGAUAAAAGCAACAGCUUCUGGGAUGAGCAAGUAGACAUUCUGGUCUCCAAGGAACUCCUUUAUCUGCUCAGAAAAUAUAUAAAAUUAUUGUUGUAAGAAACAAAUUACAUCUAUGUCUGUAGGGGUCACUAUUUCAAGUCUCUACUUCAGCACCUCAAUAAUGACAUGACUGAUGCAAUUAAUAAUUACUAAUCUCUUGAAGUGUUAACAAGAAAUAUAAAAUAUAUAAAGCGUAUAUUCU